UUGAGAAGACCCCUUCCAACUCAUCUUCCCUGCUAUGCCAAGGCACUGGAGUGGCCUCUUAACACCAUGCCCACAGGCCCUGUACCAGUAUGACCCUACAGAGUUACUAUGAUGCAAUGGGUCCACAGGGUGGAUGAUGCUCUCAGCAGCCGGGGCCCAUAGUCCAGCCGGCCCUGUGCCCACCAUCAGGGCUGUCCUGUCUGUAGCCAUGUUAACUGCCACUGCUUCUUCAGCAGUCUCCUGCGGAUACGUUGUUUUGGGUCACUUUAUCCACCACCACCCAUCUAAACAAGGAGACAAAGAAUAGGCCUGGCGGCCUUUCCUAUCAGGUUCAGUUCAGGCUAGCCAGACCUCCCUGAUACCACCCACAGUCAGGGUUCAAAGACCAGACAUUCAGAGCUUUUCCAUCCAGCACCCUGAGUAGCCAGGGAGUUCCCAGGCUGCUUGGGUUGGUCCACAUUCCGAGCCCCAGCAGUACUGUACCAUCCUUACAGAAGACUGAAACUGAUCAGUACAGCCUUGUCCCCUCCCCUUCCCAGAAGGACCAGGACUUAACUUACUUGUGGAAGCAGCAGCCAAGAAGUGCCAAGCCAGCAGCAGGCUGUCUAAAUGCCAGCAGGGUGCUGACCUUGGGCAAGCCUUUCACCUCCGUGGUCCUCAAGGCUUUUGCUAAGAAAACCAUUCCCUGACAUCUACACAUCUCUUUGCCCAGCUCCACACCUUGGCUUCAGUGUGAUCACUUUAUUUUACAUGAGACCCAUGUGCCUCCUUCUGCACUUACCUUUUUGCCUUAUUACUAAUCUCCUCUCGAGUGAAAAGUUCCAUAGGAGCAGGGAUUUUUGCCUAUUUUAUUCAUAACCAUGUCCCCAUUGCCCAGAAUAAUAAAUAUGCAUUAAAUGAAUCAUGCUUUAAAUGUCACAUGAACCCUGGGAAAACAAUCCAGAGUAAGUGGUCAGGUUACAAGACAUGGUAUAUUUGGAUGGGGACUGGAGGGCAUGGGCUAGGGCCACAGACCCUUUCUCAAGGAUGGACAGAAUCUACUUUGGAGCAAAGUAUUAGGUAGGGGGUUGGAGACGGGCUGUACAUCUCAGUAUCAAGUACAGGAGUGGAGGGGUGUGGGGGACGGGACAGAGCAGUCUUUUCUUUUUGUAACAGGUCACAAGUCAGGAGUGUACAGUAUGGGAUGGCUUUCAUUUUCAAAAAUGUUACCAGGGCAGCUAGAUAAAAUGGCCUGGUGACCAAGUUCAAUCCAUGGAACCCACAAUAGAACCAGCUCCAGAAAGUUGUUCUUUUACACACACACACACACACACACACACACACACACACACACAGUCAUUUUAUAAAAAAGCUAUCAACCAAGUCUCAAGGGUUUUUAUUGUUGUUAUUUAAACAGUGCAAAGUUCAAGAAGACUCUGUGGGCUCUCUCUCGACCAUCAGCCCCAGGUGUCAAACACUGAUGAAGCUGACACCCCGUGCAGUUUAGCUCUGGCUUUGCUGGGCUGAGGACUUGGGUAUUCAAUGCAACAAGGAGCACCCCAUAAUGUUUUCUGGAUCCAGAGCAGGCCUUGGGAGCCGCAAGGUCCAGGCAAACAAAGGGAAAGAUCUUGCUGCCUCCCGGAGCCUGGGUGGAACCUCCCCUGCUGCCUGCCCCAGGGGCUUCUCACUGCAGCACACUGACAGCACAGGAGGUGCAACCCUGGCCCCCUCCCAGUGCCGGUUCCAUAUGGGGGAGCCGGGCACUGGAGCCCCUCCUGCACCGGCCCCCAGGGGAGGAAGCCGCCUGUCAGGCCGCCUCGGCGUGUCAAAUCCUCUUGCUGCCUAAUUGUGAGACGGCGGCGUUUAAAGAAACGCUUUUCUGGCCGCCUGCCACACCGCAAACUGCUUGGUAUAAUUUUAUUAUUAAGGAGAGAGAAAAAGAGAAGGGGCUGGAGAAGAGAGAAAGGGGAGAGCGGAGGAAAUUGCUUCGUCCAAGUCAGCUGGUGGAGUAUUCCGCUCAAUGUGAAAGCGGGGACAGCUUUCCAGUUGGCAAGCUGACUCCGUUAAUUGCGCAUUCAGUCUCUACUUAGGGUAAUUGGAACGAAGCGGGGCCUAGCUCUGACAAUUAGGGUCUGCGACUAGGCCAUUAACCCUUCCCGCAACCAGCCCCCGCCCCGUCGACACCAGGCGGGGUAGGGCGCGGGCAAGACCCCCACACUGAGGUGCGGGCAGCAGCGGAGAGCUGGCUGGGGAGCCGCGCGGAGGGUGGGGUCUGCGGCCUCUCCGCCGCUGCUACAGUUGUUUCGGCCGUGUAAGACAAAGGCAGAACGUGGCCAGCGCCGGGAGAAAAUCCGCAGGACUCCCUCAGGGGCAGCCGCCCUCGGAAGUCAGCCGAGUGAAGCAGCUGUUCCUUGCACACUCCACUUGACCAAAGAUGAUGAUAAAUGAGGCCAGG